GAUGAACGCUGGCGGCGUGCCUAAUACAUGCGAGUCGAGCGAACAGACGAGGAGCUUGCUCCUCUGACGUUAGCGGCGGACGGGAGAGUAACACGUGGAUAAUCCACCUAUCAGACGGGGAUAACUGCGGGAAACCGGCGCUAAUACCGGAGAAUAUUUUGAACCGUAUGGUUCAGUAGUGAAAGACGGUUUUGCUGUCACUUACAGAUGGAUCCGGUCUGCAUUAGCUAGUUGGUUAGGUAAUCGGCUACCAAGGGAACGAUGCGGAGCCGAUCUGAGAGGGGGGUCGGCCACCCGGGAGCGGAGACGCGGACCAGGGUCCUGCGGGAGGCAGCAGUAGGGAAUCUUCCGCAGUAGGCGAGAGCAUGACAGAACGACGCCGCGUGAGUUGUGGAGGUCUUCGGUUCGUGAAAACCUCUUAUUAGGGGAGAACAAAUGUGGAAAGAACUGUGCACGUAUUGACGGUACCUGGUGAGGAAGCCCCGGCUAACUACGUG
rnacentral:rRNA from 1 species